rnacentral:rRNA from 1 species
GACCUCGGAUCAGGUAGGAAUACUCGCUGAACUUUCGUAUAUCUAUAAGCGGAGAAA